UUUAUAUAAUCUUGUACUGUCACAGUUCCUUAUAACCAGAGUCUAAAAUAUGACUAUAUCUCAUAUCCUUACACAUGUUUAAAAGAUGAAAACAAGUUUGAUAUGUCAGCGGAAGUCGAAAAUAAUGUUCCGAAGCAAGUCCAUCUGUACCUUAAUGGUAAAAAUAAUCCACCAUCAAAUUUAGCUCGUUCCUGGAAGAUUCAAACUAAAAAUCAAUUUAAAUCUGUAAAAGCCCGUUAUAUUAAUUUGAGGAGUGAAUCGUGUAACAAGAUUAGAAUAUCACAGAACGAGACUAUGUUUAACUGUACAGAAGAACAACUUGUUAUAUUAAAUGAGGAGUUAGAUAUAACAGGAAACCAGAUUGAUAUAACAAUUCAUAGUCUAACAUUACAGACAGAUGAAUUUAUCUCGCUUGAAUUUGUAGUAGAUGACGAUGCUAACAUAUCUUUAAAGUGUGAAGUUAUGGAUCAGGCAACGGUAUUAACACCACCUUUAGAGGUUACAUCAACUACAGUAGAUGUUAAUUAUCGAGAAUUAAAGACGAAUAUAGCGGCGAUAGUUGGAGGAAUUUUGGGAACAGCUUUAUUUAUCAGUAUUUGUGUUAUAAUUCUACUGAUUAUCUAUUUUAAAAGGAUAAUUAAGAAAAGAGAAUCUCAUCAGGUAGUAAACCAGAACAAUCAUGACUAUACCACUACACUUAAUAGGGUUGGAGAUACAGCAACUGUUGUUUAUGAUUCUUUAAAUACAAGACAACAAACUGGUUAUUAUAAUAUGGGCAGUAUAAACCAAUAUGAUGACAGUAGACCAGAUACAGCUGUUGAUAGUCCACAACAAACAACCGCAACUGGUGAUAGUCCACAACAAACAAAUACAACCAAUGGAAUGAACUACAGCAAUCUUUUGAACGAAAUUUAGGAGCUGAUUUUAUUCAGAGCGGACUUUGACGGUUGAAUCUUUGUGUUUGUUCAAAUUAUAAUAUACAUUUAAAACAUGAAACAUGUUCUUUAAUGUGAACGGUCAUGACAGUUAUAUAUAAUAUGCACACCUCAUUUUUUUAUGGUGUAAAACACCAGAAUCCAACUUGGUUGAAAAGACAAAAUCCCAACUAGGUCUAUUCGUCUAGCGUCCCUCAAUUCCAUACCAAUACAAUCCAAAGUGUAAUACAAAUUAAUUGCAUCCAAAUCAUAUGUCAUAAUAAUUAUGAAGCUGGAGCCCAUGCAUAGUUUGGAAUGUUUAAACAUCAACCGAGCAAAUAUGUACAUAGAUGAAAUUGGGUUAAAAAUAGGCUUUACUCUAUUAUUUAUAAUGUACAACAGAUAUUUAUGUCACUUAUAAUGUGAAUAACACAUAACCGAAAAAAAUAUUACACAUCAUUCAAUUAUAUUUAAUUAUAAUCCUUUAGAGACAUUAAGUAACAUGUUUUGAACCUUUUAAUGAUAUUCUUCCAAAUGUCGACCAAAUAAAUUAGUAAUUGUUCUUCAAUAAGUAAGUAUUAUAGUUUAUUGUACUUCACUCACUACAUGUACUUACUAUGAAUCAAGGUAUUUUAUUACAUAACACCUGAUCUAUUAUAUAUAAUGACAC